rnacentral:rRNA from 1 species
CUUAAAUGAAUUGACGGGACCGCACAAGCAGCGGAGCGUGUGGUUUAAUUCGUUGCUACACGAAGAACCUUACCUGGGUUUGACAUAUAGGUUGUAGGGAACUGAAAAGGGACCGACCCUUCGGGAGCCUAUACAGGUGUUGCAUGGCUGUCGUCAGCUCGUGUCGUGAGAUGUUCGGUUAAGUCCGCUAACGUGCGCAACCCUCGUCGUAUGUUAUAUGUGUCAUACGAGACUGCCGGUAAAAGCCGGAGGAAGGUGAGGAUGAUGUCAAGUCAGCAUGACCUUUAUAUCCAGGGCUACACACACGCUACAAUGGUCUGUACAAUGGGUAGCCAAGCCGCGAGGCGGAGCCAAUCCUGAAAGCAGGCCUCAGUUCAGAUUGCAGUCUGCAACUCGACUGCAUGAAGCCGGAGUUGCUAGUAACCGCAGGUCAGCAAUACUGCGGUGAAUACGUUCCCGGGUCUU